GCCCCGCCUGCAUGGCCUCAGUGUGCAGAGACUGUGGGACCAGACAGGGUGCAAACCAGAUGGCUGUGGGAGGGGCCACGGGGCCAAAACAGUGAGUCCGGGAACACGAUGCCCACACACCCAUCACUGGCCAAUUUGGCAUUUACUAAUCACAUCUCAUUCUUGACCUUCUGAACAAAUUAAAUCGAAUUCUCUUUUAGGGAACUGAUAGCCACAGCUAAGAGCAUCACUGGUUUUUCCUGCACCUCUAAUCCUUCAUGACAGAUGUCCCCAGACUGCAAGGCAUGGCCUGAAAAGGAAGCCUGGCCUGGAUGGACCCCAUUCAUUCAUUCAACAACAUCACGCAACGCCAACUAUGGGCCAAGCACUGUGCCAGGCUGUGGGAAGGCAGCAGAGGAAAAAUAGGUCGAGUUCCACACACGCCCUUGCGGAUUCACAUUCAAACAGAGGGGAGAGAGACCCCAGAGAGUAAAGAUAAGUUAUAAAUUCACUGGGAGGUAAUAGUGAUAUGGGGAAUAAAAAGCGUGGAGAGGGUAAGGGGGAGCGGGAGGGGGUGCUGAGGAGGCGUCGCACCAUUGAAUAGGGGGCUCAGGGUAAGCCCCGUUGAAGAGGGGAGCAAGCAAGCAAGCACUUGGAGCAGGUGAGAGUGAGAAAGGUAGUAGCCCUCCUGCUGUGAGCGAAUACUCUUCGGAUAUCUCCUCCGGGACCUUCACAAGGUAGCAAAGAAGAUGUCAUAAAGUCUGGCUUCUUUUCCCAAAAAUGAAUAGAGAAACCAUUCAAUCUUGAGAGGAAAAUAAUUAUUGCAAUGCAGGCUCUACAAGAGCAAGGAUGUCCUUUUCUUUACCACUGGGUGCCUCUGGCCAGACACGCACCAAGUAUCCCACCGGCCACUGUUGAGUGAAUGACUGAGUGAUCACCUGCUGGGUAUAAGUGAGGCAUCAUUCUGGACAGACGAUGCCAGAAAGCGGGGGAGCAACGCCCCCAGGAGGCAGUGCUGACUUCUUCAGUUGUCCCCCAUCUUCCUGCUCUGCUCAGCAGGAGAAAUCGGGGUGCACAGCGUAAAAGUGCAAGUCCCUGGCAGUGGGAAACGGACGCAUCUGGGAAAACUUCUCCAGGUGGCCGCGCCUGUCCUGUGUCAGGGGUAUCAGCAGCUCUGUUCUGUUUAAAUCAAUGUAUUAACCUUGUUAUACAGGACCUGACUUCUGUUCGCCAGAGCCAGGUCCUGCAGGGCACCGGGGAUGUGGUAUGUGGUGGGAGACAGCCUUAAGAUGCUCCACUGGUCCCCACCUCCUGGUAGCUGAUGGUCGGGCUUCGUGUACAUCUUUGCCCUUGAGUCACUCAGUCUCUCUCUGUCUCCAUCCCCCUCCCUCCCCUCCCCCAUGGAGGAAGCAAGUUGGCCUGUCAUGUGUGGCCCUAUGGAGAGGCCUGCCCAGCAAAGAACUGAUGUGUCCAGCUAGUAGUCUGCAAAGGCCUGUGGCUGCCACCAGCCAGGUUUCUCUCCCUCCACCACGGAUGAUUUAUGGAUCAGUGGAGAACAAAUCAGGAGCCGGAACUCAUGUUUGAGCCUCGUCUCCUGGUCCCCCAGUCUAUGGCUGCAAUAAAGGCAUUUUCCAAAUAAACGAUGCUGAGAGCAUUUACCAACUACAAAUCCUCACUAAAUUAUGAAGAAAGCAAAAUCAUGUACAUUUGGAGAGGAAUGAUCAAAGCUCCAACUUCACGUGAAGGGACCAGUCCCUGUCCAGCAAGUGGGCAGUCGCCUCUGUGUGAAGACAAACCCGGGUCCUGUCUAUGAGG